GCCCCGAUAGCCCAAUAGGCAGCAGGCGAUGGUCUCAAAAGCCAUAAAGUGUGGGUUCGAGUCCCACUCGGGGCAC
rnacentral:tRNA from 1 species